ACGCUGGCGGCGUGCNUAACACAUGCAAGUCGCGCGAGAAAAGGGGGGCAACUCCCUGAGUAAAGCGGCGCACGGGUGAGUAACACGUAGGUAACCUACCCCCGAGUCCAGGAUAACCCGCCGAAAGGUGGGCUAAUACCGGAUAUGACCACGGGAGCGUUGGCUCCUGAGGUGAAAGGUGGCCUCUGUUCACAUGCUACUGCUCGAGGAUGGGCCUGCGCGCCAUUAGCUAGUUGGUGGGGUAAUGGCCCACCAAGGCGAUGAUGGCUAGCUGGUCUGAGAGGAUGGCCAGCCACACUGGGACUGAAACACGGCCCAGACUCCUACGGGAGGCAGCGGUGGGGGAUAUUGCGCAAUGGGCGAAAGCCUGACGCAGCGACGCCGCGUGGGUGAUGAAGGCCUUCGGGUCGUAAAGCCCUGUCGAGGGGAACGAAACGGUUUCGACCCAAUACGUCGAGAUCCUGACGGUACCCCUAAAGGAAGCACCGGCUAACUCCGUGCCAGCAGCCGCGGUAAUACGGAGGGUGCGAGCGUUGUUCGGAAUCACUGGGCGUAAAGGGCGUGUAGGCGGCCUGCUAAGUCUGAUGUGAAAGCCCGGGGCUCACCCCCGGAAGGGCAUUGGAUACUGGCAGGCUCGAGUCCCGGAGAGGAGGGUGGAAUUCCUGGUGUAGCGGUGAAAUGCGUAGAUAUCAGGAGGAACACCGGUGGCGAAGGCGGCUCUCUGGACGGUGACUGACGCUGAGACGCGAAAGCGUGGGGAGCAAACAGGAUUAGAUACCCUGGUAGUCCACGCUGUAAACGAUGAGCACUAGGUGUCGUGGGUAUUGACCCCCGCGGUGCCGUAGCUAACGCAUUAAGUGCUCCGCCUGGGGACUACG
rnacentral:rRNA from 1 species